rnacentral:rRNA from 1 species
UACGAAGGGGGCUAGCGUUGCUCGGAAUUACUGGGCGUAAAGCGUGCGUAGACGGUUACAUAAGUCGGGUGUGAAAGCCCCGGGCUCAACCUGGGAAUUGCAUUCGAGACUGCGUAGCUAGGGUGCGGAAGAGGGAAGCGGAAUUUCCGGUGUAGCGGUGAAAUGCGUAGAUAUCGGAAGGAACACCAGUGGCGAAAGCGGCUUCCUGGUCCAGCAC